UGUAUAAUGGGUCAGCGACUUAUAUUCUGUAGCAAGGUUAACCGAAUAGGGGAGCCGAAGGGAAACCGAGUCUUAACUGGGCGUUAAGUUGCAGGGUAUAGACCCGAAACCCGGUGAUCUAGCCAUGGGCAGGUUGAAGGUUGGGUAACACUAACUGGAGGACCGAACCGACUAAUGUUGAAAAAUUAGCGGAUGACUUGUGGCUGGGGGUGAAAGGCCAAUCAAACCGGGAGAUAGCUGGUUCUCCCCGAAAGCUAUUUAGGUAGCGCCUCGUGAAUUCAUCUCCGGGGGUAGAGCACUGUUUCGGCAAGGGGGUCAUCCCGACUUACCAACCCGAUGCAAACUGCGAAUACCGGAGAAUGUUAUCACGGGAGACACACGGCGGGUGCUAACGUCCGUCGUGAAGAGGGAAACAACCCAGACCGCCAGCUAAGGUCCCAAAGUCAUGGUUAAGUGGGAAACGAUGUGGGAAGGCCCAGACAGCCAGGAUGUUGGCUUAGAAGCAGCCAUCAUUUAAAGAAAGCGUA
rnacentral:rRNA from 1 species